CAAUCAAGUUUGAAUAUGUAUUCCUAUAGCCCUAUAGCAGCAUAUACAGAUGGACAAAUAUUCUUAUCUACGGAUCUAUUCAAUUCCGGAAUUCGACCCGCUAUUAAUGUGGGUAUUUCUGCUUCCAGAGUUGGAUCCGCGGCUCAAAUUAAAGCCAUGAAACAAGUAGCUGGCAAAUCCAAAUUGAAACUAGCUCAAUUCGCAGAGUUACAAGCCUUUGCACAAUUCGCCUCUGCUCUCGAUAAAACAAGUCAGAAUCAAUUGGCAAGGGGUCGACAAUCAAGAGAAUUGCUUAAGCAAUCCCACCCAGUGGAAAAGCAGAUAGCUACUGUUUUUUCAGAAUAUAAAACAUUUUUUUACAGUAUGGGAAUUUGGCCCAAUUGUCCCUCCAAUUUGAAGUGA
rnacentral:rRNA from 1 species